rnacentral:lncRNA from 1 species
CUAUUAUGUAUCUAUCAAUAUUUUUUGGCUAAAUUACAUAAAAUUUUCUUGUCAAAAUUUGAUUUUUCACUUUCUUCUUCUGUCAUUUAAAAAUCUACACUUUGUCCCCUUAUAAAAUAAAAAAUAUUAACAGAGGGGUACUGUGUGAGACUUUGAUGAUAAAAUGAUCAUUUUGCCCCUCACCAUUUUGCCCCUCACCAUGUUCACAGGAGAGAAGGCUGAGGGUAUUUUUGGCAUAAAAAAUAUAUAAUAAUAUUUUAUAAACGGAAUCCUAACGGAUUACUAACGGCAGGAGAUGAAGUGAAUAUUUUUUAUUUUAUAAGGGAGCAAAGUGUAGGUUUUUAAAUGACAGGGGGGAAAAGUGAAAAUUCGAAUUUUGACAGGAAGAUUUUAUGUAAUUUA